CCUACGGGAGGCAGCAGUGGGGGAUAUUGCACAAUGGAGGAAACUCUGAUGCAGCGACGCCGCGUGAGGGAAGACGGUCUUCGGAUUGUAAAACUCUGUCUUUGGGGAAGAAAAUGACGGUACCCAAAGAGGAAGCCCCGGCAAACUACGUGCCAGCUGCCGCGGUACUACGUCGGGAGCGAGCGUUGUCCGGAAUUACUGGGGGUAAAGGGGGCGUAGGCGGGCGAGAAAGUUGAAUGUUAAAUCUGCCGGUUUAACUGGUAGCUGCGUUCAAAACUUGUUGUCUUGAGUGAAGUAGAGGCAGGCGGAAUUCGUAGUGUAGCGGUGAAAUGCGUAGAUAUUAGGAAGAACACCAGUGGCGAAGGCAGCCUGCUGGGCUUUAACUGACGCUGAGGCUCGAAAGCGUGGGGAGCAAACAGGAUUAGAUACCCGAGUAGUC
rnacentral:rRNA from 1 species